rnacentral:rRNA from 1 species
GGGUUGUGAGGUUAAGCGACUAAGCGUACACGGUGGAUGCCCUGGCAGUCAGAGGCGAUGAAGGACGUGCUAAUCUGCGAUAAGCGUCGGUGAGGUGAUAUGAACCGUUAUAACCGGCGAUUUCCGAAUGGGGAAACCCAGUGUGUUUCGACACACUAUCAUUAACUGAAUCCAUAGGUUAAUGAGGCGAACCGGGGGAACUGAAACAUCUAAGUACCCCGAGGAAAAGAAAUCAACCGAGAUUCCCCCAGUAGCGGCGAGCGAACGGGGAGGAGCCCAGAGCCUGAAUCAGUGUGUGUGUUAGUGGAAGCGUCUGGAAAGGCGCGCGAUACAGGGUGACAGCCCCGUACACAAAAAUACACAUAUUGUGAGCUCGAUGAGUAGGGCGGGACACGUGGUAUCCUGUCUGAAUAUGGGGGACCAUCCUCCAAGGCUAAAUACUCCUGACUGACCGAUAGUGAACCAGUACCGUGAGGGAAAGGCGAAAAGAACCCCGGCGAGGGGAGUGAAAAAGAACCUGAAACCGUGUACGUACAAGCAGUGGGAGCCUCUUUAUGGGGUGACUGCGUACCUUUUGUAUAAUGGGUCAGCGACUUAUAUUCUGUAGCAAGGUUAACCGAAUAGGGGAGCCGAAGGGAAACCGAGUCUUAACUGGGCGUUAAGUUGCAGGGUAUAGACCCGAAACCCGGUGAUCUAGCCAUGGGCAGGUUGAAGGUUGGGUAACACUAACUGGAGGACCGAACCGACUAAUGUUGAAAAAUUAGCGGAUGACUUGUGGCUGGGGGUGAAAGGCCAAUCAAACCGGGAGAUAGCUGGUUCUCCCCGAAAGCUAUUUAGGUAGCGCCUCGUGAAUUCAUCUCCGGGGGUAGAGCACUGUUUCGGCAAGGGGGUCAUCCCGACUUACCAACCCGAUGCAAACUGCGAAUACCGGAGAAUGUUAUCACGGGAGACACACGGCGGGUGCUAACGUCCGUCGUGAAGAGGGAAACAACCCAGACCGCCAGCUAAGGUCCCAAAGUCAUGGUUAAGUGGGAAACGAUGUGGGAAGGCCCAGACAGCCAGGAUGUUGGCUUAGAAGCAGCCAUCAUUUAAAGAAAGCGUAAUAGCUCACUGGUCGAGUCGGCCUGCGCGGAAGAUGUAACGGGGCUAAACCAUGCACCGAAGCUGCGGCAGCGACACUAUGUGUUGUUGGGUAGGGGAGCGUUCUGUAAGCCUGUGAAGGUGGCCUGUGAGGGUUGCUGGAGGUAUCAGAAGUGCGAAUGCUGACAUAAGUAACGAUAAAGCGGGUGAAAAGCCCGCUCGCCGGAAGACCAAGGGUUCCUGUCCAACGUUAAUCGGGGCAGGGUGAGUCGACCCCUAAGGCGAGGCCGAAAGGCGUAGUCGAUGGGAAACAGGUUAAUAUUCCUGUACUUGGUGUUACUGCGAAGGGGGGACGGAGAAGGCUAUGUUGGCCGGGCGACGGUUGUCCCGGUUUAAGCGUGUAGGCUGGUUUUCCAGGCAAAUCCGGAAAACCAAGGCUGAGGCGUGAUGACGAGGCACUACGGUGCUGAAGCGACAAAUGCCCUGCUUCCAGGAAAAGCCUCUAAGCAUCAGGUAACAUCAAAUCGUACCCCAAACCGACACAGGUGGUCAGGUAGAGAAUACCAAGGCGCUUGAGAGAACUCGGGUGAAGGAACUAGGCAAAAUGGUGCCGUAACUUCGGGAGAAGGCACGCUGAUAUGUAGGUGAAGCGACUUGCUCGUGGAGCUGAAAUCAGUCGAAGAUACCAGCUGGCUGCAACUGUUUAUUAAAAACACAGCACUGUGCAAACACGAAAGUGGACGUAUACGGUGUGACGCCUGCCCGGUGCCGGAAGGUUAAUUGAUGGGGUUAGCGGUAACGCGAAGCUCUUGAUCGAAGCCCCGGUAAACGGCGGCCGUAACUAUAACGGUCCUAAGGUAGCGAAAUUCCUUGUCGGGUAAGUUCCGACCUGCACGAAUGGCGUAAUGAUGGCCAGGCUGUCUCCACCCGAGACUCAGUGAAAUUGAACUCGCUGUGAAGAUGCAGUGUACCCGCGGCAAGACGGAAAGACCCCGUGAACCUUUACUAUAGCUUGACACUGAACAUUGAGCCUUGAUGUGUAGGAUAGGUGGGAGGCUUUGAAGUGUGGACGCCAGUCUGCAUGGAGCCGACCUUGAAAUACCACCCUUUAAUGUUUGAUGUUCUAACGUUGGCCCGUAAUCCGGGUUGCGGACAGUGUCUGGUGGGUAGUUUGACUGGGGCGGUCUCCUCCUAAAGAGUAACGGAGGAGCACGAAGGUUGGCUAAUCCUGGUCGGACAUCAGGAGGUUAGUGCAAUGGCAUAAGCCAGCUUGACUGCGAGCGUGACGGCGCGAGCAGGUGCGAAAGCAGGUCAUAGUGAUCCGGUGGUUCUGAAUGGAAGGGCCAUCGCUCAACGGAUAAAAGGUACUCCGGGGAUAACAGGCUGAUACCGCCCAAGAGUUCAUAUCGACGGCGGUGUUUGGCACCUCGAUGUCGGCUCAUCACAUCCUGGGGCUGAAGUAGGUCCCAAGGGUAUGGCUGUUCGCCAUUUAAAGUGGUACGCGAGCUGGGUUUAGAACGUCGUGAGACAGUUCGGUCCCUAUCUGCCGUGGGCGCUGGAGAACUGAGGGGGGCUGCUCCUAGUACGAGAGGACCGGAGUGGACGCAUCACUGGUGUUCGGGUUGUCAUGCCAAUGGCACUGCCCGGUAGCUAAAUGCGGAAGAGAUAAGUGCUGAAAGCAUCUAAGCACGAAACUUGCCCCGAGAUGAGUUCUCCCUGACUCCUUGAGAGUCCUGAAGGAACGUUGAAGACGACGACGUUGAUAGGCCGGGUGUGUAAGCGCAGCGAUGCGUUGAGCUAACCGGUACUAAUGAACCGUGAGGCUUAACCUUACAACGCCGAAG